rnacentral:lncRNA from 1 species
GCUUGAAUCAGCUUUUUGACCAAAGGGAUUUAUGCAUCCGCAAAUCCAGUUGUCUUCCUUUCAUCUAUUUAUUUUGAUUUGGAUUUUAUUUGAAAUUCUUAAUUGUCUUGCUUUUCAGGUCAUCACUGUUUUUAACAUGAUUAUUUGGAUAUCCUAUAAAGUAAGUUUUGUUGACAUUAUUAUGUAAUGUUUGUUUAAUCAGGUUGUUCAACUGCUAUUCUUCCAGCAGGAGUUGUUCAAGCUUUGAAUAAGAGUUUUGAUACUAUGACUACCCAAUCUCAAACUCAAGCUCAACCCCACUUUAAUGGCAGUCUAUUUCCAGAAUAUGGUGAGAUAUCAUAAGCCGAAUUCACUGCUUUUUGAAAUGUUCCCAUUUUUUGACACUUGAUUGUUGCUUAUAUUUUGGGGUUUGUUUUCAGAUGUGCUAAUGGCUAGGAGAAAUGCACGUUUGGCCCAGCAGAGGAGAAAUAGUAUGUGGGCUGAGGGGGCAAUGAAUUAUGAAAUAAGACUCCCACAGGAAUGGACUUACUGAUUUGGAGGAUCAAUCUUUAUGAUGGAGAAAGAUGGUGAUUUAGGUAAGGAUAGUAAGGUAGAAAGUAGUAUUUGUUAUGUAGAGUUUUCAGGUUAUAAUAUAAAUUUCAUUUCAUGAAGUGUGAGAAGUGUAUUUAGAGAAGAAAGUAAUAAGAGAGAUCCAUGGUUUUUUGGGGUUUGAGAUUGCAGCUAGCUUUUUUUGUGGCCUUUAACUUUUGACUGGGGAAAGGAAGAAGAAGAAAGGUGGAUAUCAAUCAAAUCUUGUAGGUUGAAUUUGAAGGUAUAUUAGGGCCUCUUUUUUAGGUGGAGUUGAUAUCCAAACCCUCUGUUGAUGUGUAAUAUCCUUUGGCAAAUAGUGAAAUCUAAUAAGAAAUGGAGUAGUAUUUUAUAAUGAAGUACUCCGUAUGUUUUUAUAUUUAUUGUUGCAUUCUAAAGUUUGUAAAUCAGACCAACUUUUUAGUAAAAUGGAAACUGUAUUUAAAUUGAUGUCGUACGCAUGGGGAAAUCAAACCCCGCAGGCGGCAGGCCCCAAGGAUCAGC